rnacentral:rRNA from 1 species
UAGGGAAUAUUGCACAAUGGGCGAAAGCCUGAUGCAGCAACGCCGCGUGCGCGAUGAAGGCCUUCGGGUCGUAAAGCGCUUUUCGGGGAGAUGAGGAAGGACAGUAUCCCCGGAAUAAGGCUCGGCUAACUACGUGCCAGCAGCCGCGGUAAAACGUAGGAGCCAAGCGUUAUCCGAAUUCACUGGGCGUAAAGCGCGUGCAGGCGGCUCGGUAAGUUGGAUGUAAAAUCUCCUGGCUCAACUGGGAGAGGACGUUCAAUACUGUCGGGCUAGAGGACGGUAGAGGGAGGUGGAAUUCCCGGUGUAGUGGUGAAAUGCGUAGAUAUCGGGAGGAACACCAGUGGCGAAGGCGGCCUUCUGGGCCGUACCUGACGCUCAGACGCGAAAGCCAGGGGAGCAAACGGG